UUUGCACUCCCUCUGUCCCGAAUGACGUGUCGACUAAAUGGAUGUAUCUAGAUGUAUUUUUAGUUUUAUAUAUAUCCAUUCCUGUCCAUUUCUGCGACAAGUAAUUCAGGAUGGAGGGAGUAUUUG
rfam:Triticum aestivum genome assembly, contig: Triticum_aestivum_CS42_TGACv1_scaffold_437340_5DL